rnacentral:rRNA from 1 species
GGCGAACGCUGGCGGCAUGCCUAAUACAUGCAGGUCGAGCGGAGUUAUGAUGGAGCUUGCUCCUGAUUAACUUAGCGGCGGACGGGUGAGUAACACGUAGGCAACCUGCCCUCAAGACUGGGAUAACUACCGGAGACGGUAGCUAAUACCGGAUAAUUUCUUCCCUCUCCUGAAGAGAGAAUGAAAGGCGGAGCAAUCUGCUACUUGGGGAUGGGCCUGCGGCGCAUUAGCUAGUUGGUGGAGUAAUGGCUCACCAAGGCGACGAUGCGUAGCCGACCUGAGAGGGUGAACGGCCACACUGGGACUGAGGCACGGCCCAG